UGCAACUACCUUGUAAUCUCCGACAAACUCUGAAAAUGUUGAGGACCCUCAUUCUGCCACUCGGGCACCUAGAUCUGCACACAAGGUGCAAGGAGUAAUGUGAGUAUGCCAACUCAGUAAGUAACUAAAGUAAAUAAGGUCUGAAAGCAGCGACGAGCAGUUAAAAUCAUAUAAAGGAGUAAAUAACAGAAUAACAGAUCAAACUCCACAGUUUAAAAACCAGUUUCGUCAUAAAAACUUCAGUUUCAAUUGGAAAACUUGAAAUCAUUUACUUAGCAAUUUUCAACAGAGGCUUGUUUUAAAAGAAUAGUGAAAUCACUGAACCUAUCAUAAUAGGCCCCUCGGGCAAGGUAUCACUCAGAAUAUGGCCUCUCGGGCAGCCUCUCAGUCACUCGUGACUCAGCUCUCGUCACUCAGUAUUCACUCUUAGCACUCAAGCUCAUUAAUAUCUCAUAAUAGUGAUAAUCAUAGUAAUUGCUGCGACAUGCAGCCCCAUCCAUAAUUUAUAGUCGACUAUGCUCACUGGGGGUGGUGCAGACUCUGGAGGGGCUCUUACAGCCUAAGCGUCAUAUCGCUGCGGCAUGCAGCCCGAUCCAAUAUAUAUAUCGCUGCAGUGCACAACCCGAUCCAUAUAAGUAUCGCUGCGGCGUGUAACCCGAUCCAUAAUAUAUACAUAUAAUAUUGCUGCGGCGUGCAGCCCGAUUCAUAAUAUAUAUAAUCCUCACAAUUAGGUUCCAACCUCUCUUAGUCAUUAACCUUAUAGACACUCGAGUAUAACAGUAGAAAUCAGGGAACUCAGUCUGAACAGUUCUCACAUUUUAAAAAGUUUUGUGAAAAACCAGUUUUAAACAAUAAACAGGUAAAACAUGACUGAGGAUAUGCUUUCAAACAAAUAGAGUGAGGAAAAACAGUAAAAAUGCCCCUAACGGUCUCAGCAGGGCAGCACAAGGCCCCAAACAUGGCAUACAACCCAUAAUACAGUAUGAAUUUCUAAAAUACGAGAUAUCAUAAGAUUUCAAAUUACGCGGCUUAAUAGUCGUUAUGGGACGGACCAAGUCACAAUCCCUACCGGUGCACGCCCACACGCUCGUCACCUGGCAUGUGCGUCACCCCAUUUAUCAAAACAAUUCAAAAUAUCGAGGUUUUGUACCAUCAGUUCCAGAUUUACUAUGGUUACUUACCUCAAAAUGGAAGAAAUACUACUCCGCGAUGCCCUUGCCUCUCGCCUCAGCCUCGACUCGCGCUGAAUCUACCCAAAAUCAGAAUCAUAACAUUAGAAUAUUCUAAAAGGACGAAGCCCAUGCGAAAUUAAUCAAAUUAUACCUAAAAUCCCGAAAUUGGCCAAACCCAAUCCCCGGCCCACGUUUCGAAAUUCGAUAAAAGUCACAUCAACGGAAUCCUUGUCCUCCCACGAGUUCAUACAUACCAAGAGUACCAAAAUUCGACCACAAAUGGCCCCUCAAAUCCCCAAGUCAAGGUCUCCAAUACAAAGCCCUAAUCCCUCAAUUUUCUUCCUUAAUUUCCACUAAUACCAUGAUUAAAAGAUAGAAAAAUGAUCAUAAACUCAAGCAAUGAAGCUUAGUGAACUUACAUAACUGAUAUUCAUCGAUUUCCCCUUGAAAUCCACUGCCUUAGCCCCUUUCCCGUUUUCAAAAAUGGAGAACUUAGCAAAAAUUCGCGAAGGAAACAUUAUAUACCUUCUGGCCCAGGGAAUCCGCACCCGCGGUCCUUUAACCGCUUCUGCGGUCUUGACCACCGCACCUGCGGUUUCCAUUUAAAUGACCAAAAGUCACAUCUGUGAUCAAUUAACCGCACCUGCGCCAUCGCAGGUGCGCUCAGUAUACCGCAUAUGCGUCUCCUUCCCCUCGCAUCCUUGACCGCAUCUGUGGCCAUUUCUUUGCAUCUACGGUGUCGCACCUUUGGUCCCCAAUCCGCAGAUGCGGAAACAACAGAAGCAGAAAAAUUCUAUAGCUUCCCAAAAAUUCCAACUCUCCGUCAACCAUCCGAAAACACCCUGAGGCCCCCGGGACCUCAACCAAAAUCACAAACACAUCAUAUACCCCCACUCCAACUAGUACCAAUCUUCCAAGCACCUCAAAAAACAUCGAAUCAAUCAAAACACAUCGGAUUCAAGCCUAAGUUUUCUAAAAUCUUCCGAAUUAUGCUUUUGAUAAAAAUGUUUACCAAACCACGUUCGAAUGACCUAAAAUUUUGCACACACACAUCCCAAUUGACCCACAAAACUACUGCAACUCCCGGAAUUCCAUUCUGACCCCUAUAUCAAAAUCUCACCUAUCAACCGGAAAAUGCCAAAAUUCCAAUUUCGCCAAUUCAAGCCUAAAUCUACUCUGGACCUCCAAAACACAUUCUGAUCACGUUCAUAAGUCCCAAAUCAUUUUCCCAAGCUAUUUGAACCAUCAGAACUCACAUCAGAGCCUUCUAACACAUAAGUCAACAUCCGCUUGACUUUUUCCAACUUAAGCUUCCUCAAAAGAGACUAAGUGUCUCAAACCUUGCCAAAACCUCUCCGAACCCGAACCGAUCAACUUGAUGACAUGAAAUACAACUGAACAAAUAAAUAAGAAGUAGAAAUAGGUGAAACGGAGCAGUAACUCAUGAGAUGACUGGCCGGGUCGUCACACAUAGAGAUGCAUUUCCUUCUGCUACCUAAUUUUUGGGUGACAUUUCAUGAUUUCACCUAUAUAUUGACAUGUAGGCAUAGAGAUGUAUUUUUCCUUAUGAUAUUUGAAAAUUAAACAUAUUAUGUUUUGUUGAACAGUUUUUGGGAAAAAUCACAGUUUUCAAACUUACUCUAAUUUUUGGCGAUUUCGGUAAAAGAUUUGGGUUUUCACAGAUAUAUUUGAAAGGCAUGCCUAUUUUUUUUGGAACUGUGAACAACCUAAGCAUUUUAUCUCUGAGUUAAUUCUUUUAUUACUUUCAUUAUGUUGCUAUGAGCCAUUGUUGGCUAUUUGUGUUGUACUCGACCUAUAUUCCAACUCAUCACUAUUUUCAACAUAAUGUUAGGUUUGUUACUUAUUGAGUACAUGAGGUUGGUUGUACUCAUACUACACUUCUGCACCUUGCGUGCAGAUGUUGGAUGCUGAUAUUGCUGUUUAUGGCGAGAGCUGGAUUUGAAGAUGUACCUGCAUUCCGGUUGUUGCUGCCUCUUAUUCAUGGUACCCUUAGAAUAAUAGAAACUAUUUAUGUACAAAUGAUGUAAUUAUUUCAUACUAGAUUUGUAAAUUCUAAUCUUAGAAGCUCAUAAUUUGUACUACCAGUCCUUGGGAAUUCCUUGUGUAAAAGAAAUUUUAUUAUCAUUUCUUCUCUUAAUAAGUAUCAUUUGAAUUGGUUUUAUUGUUAACUCGCUUACCUAGCAGGUUGGGUUAGGUGUCAUCACGACCAGUUGGAUUUUGGGUCGUGACAAGUUGGUAUAAGAGCUCUAGGUUCAUAGGUUGUACAAGUCAUGAGCAAGUGUCUAGUAGACUCUUGCGAAUUGGUAUGAUGUCGUCCAUACCUAUCUUCAAGAGGCUACAGGGCAUUUAGGAUAUGCAUCCCAUAUUUCUUUACUUAUCGUGCGACAUUGAUUCAACUUGAAGCAUAACUCUUUGAAUUCCUUCCAUGCAUUUGUAUGCGCAUGUGAGCGAUUGGUGUCAGCUGUGUAUCAUCGGCUUGUGAUUCCAUGGAUGAGGUGCGAGAUGUGAUUUCGGUAUGGUGAUAGCGGUCCAAUCUGGAGAACUUAAGGACGCGUUUUGACUGUAACUUGAGCAUGAAGAUUUUGGUUGUAUGAGCACGUGUUUUUGGACUUAUAAGUCUGGUAGUAUCCCUAUUAGUGGAAUUUAUGUCUCUAUGAGCGGUUGGAUGGAUAUAUAAGUAUGAUGUGACUACAAGAAGUGUUAAGAUUGUUCGAAUGUGACGAGAAGAGUUUUCUUGAGAUGUAAAAAGGACUAUUGGGUGCUUUAUUUCUAUCUUGAUUUGACGUAUAGUCUCGAGUUAUAGGUGUGUUGAAUGAUCUUUCAUGUUGUUUAAUUAUGGAGUGAAGUAGAUUUUCAUGUCGUGUUAUGAGUUCAAACUUAGGAAGAUUAAGUGAUGGCGUAGUAGUUGUGGAUGUGGAAGGCUGUAGAGAAAUGUCAGUUUGAGGCAAAGCAUGUGGGUUAUCUCCUGUGGGGUGUCAUGAGGUUGUGUGAUCCCUAUGUUAUUUUUGUAGGUGGAGGGGUCAACCAGUGAAGUAAGCGACUUGGGAGGCCGAGGACAUGAGGAGAAAAUAUCUGCACUGUUGGCGCAAGCAAAUGUUUGUUUUAAAGAUUGACAAAUGAAGCUCAAACAUGAACUAGGUCCAUCCCUUUUGUGCAUAGACAUGGGCUGGUUCAAGCAUGUGGGAUGUACGUGAAGGAGAUAAGCUUAACUGUGUAUAAUUGAUAUCUCCUGAUUGAAAAGGUUUCAUAAGUGAUAAGGAGAAGGACUCCUUGAUCCAAGAGAACACUACUAGAUAAAGGGAGGAGUUAGAAAUUGAGAUCAACUAGAACUCUUCCACCAAGGAAGAGUAGCAUUAGAACUCUAGUUAUUACUUAAUCUACUAACUCUAUAUAUUGCAGGAUGUUCUCAUUUUACAAGUAUGCACAAACGCAGAAGUUAAACGUGAAUUAAGAGCAAAAUAGCAAGGAAUUUUGCAAGCAGUUCGUGUGUAAUUCAAGUGUGCAAAACUGAAACUACAUGAAUCAGAUAGAAAAACUAGUUCCAAGAGUUUGUCUUUUAUUCUAGUUCAAUUGUAAUAGGUGUUUUCAUAUUGUACCUUUCAGCUUUAUCUAGAGGCGAUUGUAAUAGGUACUCAGAGUAUUCAAGUUAGAGUUAACUUGAAGUUUUUGCAAUAGUUAGAGGUUGUUUGCCCCAACGAGAUUAGAGUUAAUUCUAGGUUUACAAAAGUGUUUUGUAAUGUAGUUUUCGGCUCAGUGAUUUAGUGUAGAGUUUGGGGAAAUCCUACUGAGAAGUAGGUCGUGGUUUUUUCACCUUUUGAGCCAUGUGUUUUCCACGUAAUACUUGUGUUCUUUACUUUCUGCAUUUACUAUUGCAAUAAUAGUAGAUUAAGGAACACUUAGAUAGAACCAGGUCCUUCAAUAAUCAGUUUAAGCGAAAAAUUGGACACCACACAAAUCACCCCCUCUUGUGUGGUAUUGAAGUUAAAUCAUCAAUUGGUAUCAAAGCAGGUUAUCCUUGAAGAGGCUAACACCUUAAGAGAAGAUCAAGAUGUGUGCACCACCUAGAAGUUGGGAAGGACAAUCAACUGCUAGGCCACCACCCUUCAAUGUACAUUACUACUCUUGGUGAAAAAACAAAAUGAGAGACCACAUCAUAGGAGAGGACUAUGAGCUAUAGGACAUUGUCACUGAUGGUUCCCUGGCUACCAUGAAGAAAAAUGCUGAAGGAGUAGAUGUGCCAAAAACAAGAGCUGACUGCAAGCUGAGGACUUGACGAAAUGGGAGAAGAAUGCUAAGGCCAAGAAUGGCCUGUGUGUGGACUUGGUCCAGACGAGUACAAUAGAAUUCAAAGCUGUACCACUGCUAUGGAAAUUUAGACACUUUGCAAGUGGCUCAUGAAGGAACGCCUCAAGUGAAGAGGUCUAGAUGAACACUACUAUAUUCUCAAUAUGAGAAUUUUACCAUGAAGGAAGGGGAAACCAUCCAAGAGAUGUAUACUAGGUUCACCACACUAACAAAUGAACUUAAGUUUCUUGGAAGAAUCAUUUCCGAAGAAGAUAGUGUUGAGAAGAUUUUGUCAAGGGUUCUGCCAGUCACUUGGGAGAGCAAAAUCAUUGCCAUUCAGGAAUCAAAGAACAUUGUCACUCUUAAAUUGGAUGAGUUAAUUGGAAAUCUCACUGCUUAUGAACUUAUAAGGCCAACCAUGAUGAUGGAUGUACCCAAGAAGGAAAAGAGCGAAGCACUCAAAAUCACUGAAGGUUAUGAACUAGAAGAUGAUGAAAUGGCAAUGAUCACAAAGGAUUUCAAAAAGUACCUAAUGAGAGGAAAGGGUACUUCAAGAAGUGGAAGCUAUAUCAAACCAAGUGUUCCUGAAAAAUAGACCCUCAUUGCUACAAGUGUGGGAAGACUGAUCACCACAUCAAAAACUGCCCUCAAUGGGAAAUUGAAUGGAAGAAGGAAAGAGCUGAAUGAAGAAACAGGAAGAAGGAAUAGGUUCAACCCAAGAGGAAUAGAGGAUUAUUAAAGGCUAUGGUUGCUGCUUGGGGAGAAAGCUCAGAUGAUGAAUAUGGAGAUGAACAAGCACUUCUGGCCAUUGGAGAAUCUGAUGAGGAACCUAAGGUAAGUGUAAUUCAUCUCAAAGACAAGAUUAAAUUUUUGUCUAAAGAAAGGCUAUCUGAAUUACUUAUAGAUUUCAUUGAUGAAUUUGGGGAUGUAAACAAUGAAAAGGAACAACUGUCUAAGGAAUGUGUGAUUUUGAAAGCAAAGUGUAAGAACUUGGAACUUAUGGUUAGUGAGACUGUAAGUGAAAAUACUGCUUUAAAGAACCAGGUUCAUGCACUUGAAUCAAAUGUCCUAGAACUUAGAUCUGAAACCUAAAACUGAAAUUAAGAACAAGUAAGAAGACAACUGAUUGCACACAACUCACUCUAGAAGAAAAUUUGGGUAAACUAAAAGAUGAGUUGUAUAAGAAGGAUGAACAUGUAAGAAUUUUGAAGGAGGAUCUAGGCAAGGUCAAGCAUGAACUAGACAGAACUUGAAAUGGAACAGGUCCUUCGAUGCACUUUUAAGGCUAUAGGAACAUCAUAGUAGAAAUAGAAGAGGAUCUGUCUUUGGGAAUCUGGCCCAUAAAUGGGAUCCCAAAAGCAAGUACCUUACACUUCCUGAGAAUAAGAAUUUUACUUUCUAUGGUAAAACAGGUUGUCACACCUCCUUUUUAUCCGAAGGGAGGGCAUAGGGUAGUUUUUUCAAUUAAAGUGACAUUAUUCGAUAUGAUAUUAUUUAUUAAAAGAUUCAUAGUCGCCACUUGGAAAAUUUAUGGCGUCCCAAGUCACUGGUUCAAAUUCCGAAUCGAGGAAAAGAUUGACUCUGUAUUACAGUCUAUAAACCAGAAAUCCGGGUAAGGAAUUCUGUUAACCCGGUAGAAGGUGUUAGGCAUUCUUGAGUUUCGUGGUUCUAGCACGGUUGCUCAACUGUUAUAAUUGGCCUAUUAUCUGACUUACUACAUGUUUUAAACCUAUUGUGCAUUUUUAACUUAUUAACCGCUUUCAAUUAUUUUGAAACGCUUUUAGAAAGAUUCAACGUUAUUUAAAACAUGCCUUGAACCACGCCACAUGAAAUGCACCCUCGAUUCACGACAUAUUUUAUUUAACGUUGUUGAGGAUUGGAGUUGGGUCACAUGAAAUGCACACCCGAGUUUAAGGAAACUAAUUUAAAAUAGUGCGACUUAAGCAACUACGCAAUUUUAAGUUAAUAACAAGGUUUGCGAGGGCCAUAAAAAAUUCAACUGAUGGCACACCUCGAUUUCUAAAGAGUUGAAAUUAAUUACAUGAGGGCCAUGGUUAUGGAAAUUAUUGUAAAAGCAAUAAGGUAAAUAACAAUCCAAAACCCAAUUUAAUCUUAAUAUCCCCCCAAGUUGAGGAUUAGAGGUUAAUACUUUAUAUUCGUUCUGUUCAAGUUUUCAAACCUUACUACUUCUUAUUUCUUAAUUUGCUCCAUUAACCUGACAAAUCGUUUCAAUAACUGAACGAAUAUAAUAUAUUAACCUCAAACAAUUAAAAUCCAAACUAAUCAGUGAGCUAAAUGAACUAAAAAUAAGGAGAAAACAUAAACAAAGCUUUAUACCCACCUACGAUAAAUUAAACACGUAAACAAACAAAGCUUUUAAAUAAGGAGAAAACAACUAAAACAAAUCUAAUAUUAACACCCACAGAAUAAAUAGAUCUAAAAUGGCUACCAAACUAGUGAAUUAAGAAGAAGAAAAUAAAUAAAUAAAAUUGAAAGUAUAAGGAUCUUCUGGAAUGAAGCUUCAAAGGCAUAGAUUAAAUAACAACAAAAAAAGAAAAUAUGGACCUUUUAUUGCUUCCAAUUCAUCAACAACCUUCUGCUAUUUACAAGGUAGACCAAAAAAUGCCGAUGGAAUUGAACGGACAUAACUGUCAACAAGACCACGCCGGAAACCUCGAAUGAGCUCCACUGACUUAGUUUAAUUUAUCAUUAAUUGUCACAUUCUUUACAACCACAGUUGACA
rnacentral:lncRNA from 1 species